rnacentral:tRNA from 13 species
GCCGCCGUAGCUCAGCCUGGUUAGAGCGCCGGCCUUGUAAGUUACUGCCUAGAUAGCCGGCGGUCGCGGGUUCGAAUCCCGCCGGCGGCU